rnacentral:rRNA from 1 species
AUUGAACGCUGGCGGCAGGCUUAACACAUGCAAGUCGAGCGGAGAUGAGGUGCUUGCACCUUAUCUUAGCGGCGGACGGGUGAGUGAUGCUUAGGAAUCUGCCAUUUAGUGGGGGACAACAUUCCGAAAGGAAUGCUAAUACCGCAUACGUCCUACAGGAGAAAGCAGGGGAUCUUCGGACCUUGCGCUAAAUGAUGAGCCUAAGUCGGAUUAGCUAGUUGGUGGGGUAAAGGCCUACCAAGGCGACGAUCUGUAGCGGGUCUGAGAGGAUGAUCCGCCACACUGGGACUGAGACACGGCCCAGACUCCUACGGGAGGCAGCAGUGGGGAAUAUUGGACAAUGGGCGGAAGCCUGAUCCAGCCAUGCCGCGUGUGUGAGGAAGGCCUUUUGGUUGUAAAGCACUUUAAGCGAGGAGGAGGCUACUAGUACUAAUACUACUGGAUAGUGGACGUUACUCGCAGAAUAAGCACCGGCUAACUCUGUGCCAGCCGCCGCCGUAACAC